CCUACGGGUGGCUGCAGUGGGGAAUAUUGGACAAUGGGCGCAAGCCUGAUCCAGCAAUACCGCGUGUGUGAAGAAGGCCUGAGGGUUGUAAAGCACUUUUAAUCGGGAGGAAUAGCGGUCGGUUAAUACCCGGUCGUCUGACAUUACCGAUAGAAAAAGCACCGGCUAACUCCGUGCCAGCAGCCGCGGUAAUACGGAGGGUGCAAACUGGAAUCGGAAUUACUGGGCGCAAAGCGUGAAGUGGCGGUUGAAAGCCCCGGGCUUAACCUGGGAACGGCAUUUGAAACUGAUCGACUAGAGUUGGGUAGAGGGGAGUGGAAUUUCAGGUGUAGCGGUGAAAUGCGUAGAUAUCUGAAGGAACACCAGUGGCGAAGGCGGCUCCCUGGACCCAAACUGACGCUGAGGCACGAAAGCGUGGGUAGCAAACAGGAUUAGAUACCCCAGUAGUC
rnacentral:rRNA from 1 species